rnacentral:rRNA from 1 species
AUGUUGCACGGUCCAUGUGGCGCGCUCAAGAAAAGUUGCCCUUGCAUGAUAGAUGGACAAUGUCGGUUUCAUUACCCUCGAGAUUUCUGUGAUGCUACAUUACAAGGGAAAGACUCAUAUCCCAUCUAUAGAAGGAGGGAUGAUGGGGUGAGAGUUAGGAUCAGAGGAGCUGAUUUGGACAAUAGAUGGGUGGUCCCUUACAACCCCUUUCUGCUGAUGACAUACAACUGUCACAUUAAUGUCGAAGCAUGCUCGAGCAUCAAGGCAGUGAAGUACUUAUUCAAGUACAUCUACAAAGGGCAUGAUAAGGCAUCAUUUGCGUUCCAUCAGGAUAUUAUCAAUGAUGGGGGAAUCAUUGAUGAAAUUCGACAAUAUAGGGAUGCACGCUAUAUAUCUCCUCCCGAAGCUAUCUACAGGAUUUUUGGCUUUAAAAUGUUUGGUGUCAGCCCAGCUGUAUUGCAGCUCCAGCUUCAUUUGCCAAACAAGCAUACAGUCGCAUUUCAGGCUUAUGAAAAUCUGCAAGAUGUUGUCGCUCGGCCAUCUUCUUCCAAAUCCAUGCUUACCGAGUACUUUCAGAUGAACCAAAAGUAUCCAGAGGCACGAAAAUUGUUGUACAGAGAGUUCCCAGAACAUUAUAGGUGGAUAUCCGGUAAUAAGAAGUGGCAACCGAGGAAAAAUAAGAGAUCACAGAUUGGAAGAUUGGUGCAUGCACACCCUGCUGAAGGAGAGAGGUACUACCUGAGGGUGCUCCUAAACCAUGUCCGAGGUGCCACUUCAUUUGAUGAUUUAAAAACAAUAAAUGGCAAGCCAUGCGGAUCCUUCAGAGAGGCGUGCGAGCAAUUAGGCCUCAUUGAGCAUGACAGGACACUUGAUGAUUGCAUGACAGAGGCAGCAACAUUUCAAAUGCCUUCUGCUCUUAGACGGUUGUUUGCGACUAUACUGGUAUUCUGUGAGGCAACACAAAUCCGUCAGUUGUGGGACAAACAUCUAGCAUCCAUGUCUGAAGAUUAUCGCCGUACUCAAUCGAAUGAGGCAGCACUAGAGCAAAUGGUCCUUAGGGAUAUUAGGGAUCUGUUGCAAUCCAUGGGAAAGAAUAUUAAACACUAUGGACUUCCGGAUCUGGUUGACGCAGAUGGUUCUUCUGAUGUUGAGAAUAGAGAGGUAACAGAGGAGAGAGAGGUCACGGUGGACCAAGAACAUCUAGAUCUAUUUAGUUGUUUGAACAAUGAGCAACUAGCUGGUUUCAAUGACAUAAUGGAGCAUGUGACGAACCAGAAAAGCCAGAUUUUCUUCGUUGAUGGCCCAGGAGGCACUGGGAAGACGUACCUGUACAAGGCAUUGCUUGCGAAGGUCCGUUCGAUGGGCCUAAUAGCGAUCGCAACUGCUACAUCAGGUAUUGCAGCAUCGAUAAUGCCUGGAGGUCGGACUGCACACUCCAGAUUCAAAAUUCCAAUCAAGCUGACUGACAACAGCAUGUGUAGCUUCACAAAGCAGAGUGGUACGGCAGAGUUGCUUAAACAGGCGUCCUUGAUAAUUUGGGAUGAAGUUGCUAUGACAAAGCGUCAAGCAGUUGAGACGCUUGAUAGAUCGCUACAGGAUAUAAUGGAAUGUCCUUUACCAUUUGGUGGAAAGGUUAUCGUCUUUGGUGGCGAUUUCAGGCAGGUACUCCCCGUUGUGACACGAGGGACAAGAGCACAGAUCACUGAUGCUACACUGUUGAGAUCCUAUCUGUGGCAGAAGAUCCGGAAGAUAUGCCUCACACGCAAUAUGCAGGCACAGACAGACCCUUGGUUCUCGGAAUACCUCCUACGGAUCGGCAAUGGAACGGAAGAAACAAUUGGCAACGACUAUGUGCAUCUCCCUGAAGACAUUGUGAUUGCUUAUACCGACGAUGAAGAACCUAUUAACAAGCUUAUCGAAGAUGUCUUCCCAUCCCUACACACCAAUGCUAGGUCGAGAGAGUACAUGAGCACACGUGCAAUUCUCUCGACCAAAAACGAGCAUGUGGAUGACUUGAAUGACAAGAUGAUCUCCAGAUUUCCAGGCGAGGAAAAGGUGUACCAUAGCUUUGACUAUAUCGAGGAUGACUUCCAGAACAAUUACACAAUUGACUUCCUGAACUCGAUCACACCAAAUGGGUUGCCCCCGCAUGUCUUGAGAGUAAAAAUCAACUGCCCGGUCAUUUUGCUACGGAACCUCGACCCUCAUAAUGGGCUAUGUAAUGGAACACGCCUUAUGAUCAGGGCCUUCCAGGAUAAUGCAAUCGAUGCUGAGAUUGUUGGUGGCCAGCAUGCUGGAAAGAGGGUGUUCAUACCUAGGAUCCCUAUGUCGCCCUCGGAGGACACCUCGCUUCCGUUCAAGCUUAAGAGAAAACAGUUCCCGAUCCGCCUGAGUUUUGCGAUGACCAUUAACAAGGCAUAG